GUUAGGGUUAGUGUGGUUAAGGUUAAGGUUAGGCAUUAGGGUUAGUGUGGUUAAGGUUAAGGUUAGGCAUUAGGGUUAGUGUGGUUAAGGUUAAGGUUAGGCAUUAGGGUUAGUGUGGUUAAGGUUAGGGUUAGUGUGGUUAAGGUUAAGGUUAAGGUUAGGCAUUAGGCUUAGUGUGGUUAAGGUUAAGGUUAGGCAUUAGGGUUAGUGUGGUUAAGGUUAAGGUUAAGGUUAGGCAUUAGGCUUAGUGUGGUUAAGGUUAAAGUUAAGGUUAGGCAUUAGGGUUAGUGUGGUUAGGGUUAAGGUUAAGGUUAGGCAUUAGGGUUAGUGUGGUUAAGGUUAAGGUUAGGCAUUAGGGUUAGUGUGGUUAAGGUUAAGGUUAGGCAUUAGGGUUAGUGUGGUUAAGGUUAAGGUUAAGGUUAGGCAUUAGGGUUAGUGUGGUUAAGGUUAGAUUUAGGUUUCAAAUCAGAUUUGAUGACUUUGUGGCUGUGCCAACUAGUGACCACUCUGCAGAGCUGCCUCCAGAACAACAUUCAUGUCAACAACCUCUUGCUUCCUCUGAGAUAAUAUUUACAUAGACUGAAGCGAGGUGGCGAUGUUAUGAUGGAAGACCAAAUGGAUUCCUAGAGCUGUGAUGCUGAAUGGGAAGACAGAGCCACAGAGCCACAGAGCUGUAAAAAUAAAUCUGUAAUUCUAUAAGCCUCCUUAAUUCCCCUCCCCUCUCCUUUCCUUUCCUUUCCAAUCUUCUCUUCUCCUCUCCUCUCCUGUCCUGUCCUCUCCUCUCAUUUCCUUUCCAAUCUUCUCCUCUCCUCUCCUCUCCUCUCCUCUCCUCUCCUCUCCUCUCCUCUCCUCUCCUCUCCUCUCCUCUCCUCUCCUCUCCUUUCCUUUCCUGUCCUUUCCUUUCCAAUCUUCUCCUCUCCUCUCAUCUCCUUUCCUCUCCUUUCCUUUCCUUUCCUCUCCUUUCCUUUCCAAUCUAC
rnacentral:lncRNA from 1 species